ensembl:lncRNA
UUUAUACAUUUAUUAAAUAUAUUUAUUUACUAUUUAAUGCAAAAACAAAUAAAUAAAUUGAAAAUUUAAAGUGUUAGACCUGGUUCUACUGUUUAGCCUUGUAAUUUAUUUAGUUUUUAAUUAAUUUAUUUUAAAAAAUGUUCCAUUUUUGUAUUUUUAUAAAAGGUUGAUGUUGUUUUAUUAAACCAAAUGCAUAUAACAGUUAUUGUACCUCAAACUGUAAACAAUUCCAACCAAUUUUCAACCACACACCCUCCAAAGGCAUCAAAAUCUGACAUUAAAAAACCCCAAAUGUGCAAAAUGAUUGACCUGCAGAAAGUGUUUUGGAUUUGCUAGAAGAAGCAUGACCGGGCCACAAUAUUUAUUUAUUAAUAUAUUUUAUAUUUACAUAAUUUUUUCUAAUUCCAGGCAGUCAGAGGUUUUUUAGGACACCUAUUUUAGUGAUAUCUGACAGAUGGAGACUUUCUUAAUGCAUGCAAUAAAAUAUAAUUUUAAUGUAUGCAAUAAAAAAACCUCAUGCAUCAUUUUGAAUAAUCAUUUAAGUUAACCUGAUUUAACCAUUUAAGUUUGACCUGAAAUUUCUGAAAUUUUUACAUGAAGUUCACUUGAGAUUUUAAAUGAUUGUUUUAAUAAUUUAAUAACACCUUCAGGUAUUUGCAGUUCUUUGCACCACUUUGUGAACCCAUAAUUUAACAUAUAAAUCUGUAUUUGUUAUGCAGAGUUAUCUGUGUAAUGAAAUUUCUUCACAUUUACACUCACAUCUUGUUUCCUUUCUGUGUAGAUCAUCCCUGUAGAGAAGCUCGUCAAGGGACGGUUUCAAGACAACCUGGACUUCAUUCAGUGGUUCAAGAAGUUCUUCGACGCCAACUACGACGGGAAGGAGUACGACCCGGUGCAGGCCAGACAGGGCCAGGACGCCAUUCCCCCUCCAGAUCCCGGCGAGCAGAUCUUCAACCUGCCAAAGAAAUCCCACCAUGCCGCCAGCUCUCCCACCGCAGGAGCUACUA